UUUGAUUGGCUAAUCCAAAAGGUCAUUCCGACGUGACCCCUUAUGGGAUGUUGUUAGAUGUUCAUGCAACGUAGUGAGAAUGACCAUCUAGAUUUUAAUUAGAUUGGGACAUUGUGUGUUGGUUUUCCCUGAGCAAGAUACUUCAUUUCUUGUGUGUUAAAGACACUUAUUGGUUGCUAAAGGUUGUUAACCGCAUAACCACAGAUUAAAAUUGGCGUACAGCUUUGAGACGGCUUUGUUGCUUUGACAAAGCAAUAUCUUCGAAUCAUAAUUAUUAGUAAUUAAUUAUAAGGUACUUUUUUCCAAAAUGAUUAUCUUUUGAAUUAUAUUCCAUUAUUGAUUGUGGAAUAUUGCUAAAUAUCUCAAGUAAGAACUUAAAUCAUCUUUCAGUAAUCGCCAAAACGUAGAUCUUACAUGUAAUGUCAGUUGUUUGAGAAGUAAUACUUAUUGUUGUAUAUAUUACAUAUUCCCACACAGCCCUUUGUCAUCAAGUAUUAUAUCAACUCCCAUGAUGCAAUGCAUGUGUGAUAAAUGUUUAUAUAUACUUUUUAUUGUGUUAUGUUUUUACUGAUAUAACUAGUCAUUGACGUUUUUUUCAAGAAAAUCAUCAUUUGAAAAAAAAGAGAAAGUAGUUUUGGUAAUUGCUUGAAAAUUAGCAAAACAUCGUUAUAUUGUUCAAAGUGCAAAUAUUGAAUGAUCUACCUAACAAUAUAAAACGUUUUUCACCAAAUAUAAGCCCUGCAUAAAGUCAGUCAGAGAUAUACAGCUACAGUGUAUAUGCUUAUGACUAGUUUCUUUUUUUUAAAUGGAAGACCCAAAAAUAAAUAAUGAGUUAAAAAUAUCAAUAACUUUAAGAUAUGAAAAGAAGAAAAUUCAUAUCUAGUGAGUCUGUAAAGAUAAGAGUAAGAAAGGUAAAAUUCCUGUUUUGCAGAUAAGCAAGGUCAAAUUUCAAUUUGGCUCAUAGAUGUAUUUAUUUACUGAAAAGAAGAUAGUUAUGUAGUAGGUUAGCUAUUUGCCUUGCAGUAACUUACCAGAUAUCUCUUUACGUAACUUUAGAAAAUCUGUGGUGACUCAACCUGCAAUAUGCACCGUGUCACAAUUCCAUGAACCAUACUUAGGCUACACAUAUUUUGUUUAACAUUAUGAUGAUGUGAGAGGAUCAGUGUGUCCGUUGUAGAGCAUUCUGUAAUGGCCAGUCAUGUAACUGUAUGUCAUCGUUGCCUAUGUUGUUGUCAAUAAUUAUGUAAUUGCAAUUUGUUUACAAAUAAAAUAUGUUCAUUAUAUA